rnacentral:rRNA from 1 species
ACGAACGCUGGCGGCGUGCUUAACACAUGCAAGUCGAACGGAAAGGCCCUGCUUUUGUGGGGUGCUCGAGUGGCGAACGGGUGAGUAACACGUGAGUAACCUGCCCUUGACUUUGGGAUAACUUCAGGAAACUGGGGCUAAUACCGGAUAGGAGCUCCUGCUGCAUGGUGGGGGUUGGAAAGUUUCGGCGGUUGGGGAUGGACUCGCGGCUUAUCAGCUUGUUGGUGGGGUAGUGGCUUACCAAGGCUUUGACGGGUAGCCGGCCUGAGAGGGUGACCGGCGACAUUGGGACUGAGAUACGGCCCAGACUCCUACGGGAGGCAGCAGUGGGGAAUAUUGCACAAUGGGCGGAAGCCUGAUGCAGCAACGCCGCGGGCGGGAUGACGGCCUUCGGGUUGUAAACCGCUUUCGCCUGUGACGAAGCGUGAGUGACGGUAAUGGGUAAAGAAGCACCGGCUAACUACGUG